GGUUUUUAACAAAAGAACCUUAGUAAUAGAAGAGUCUAUUCAUGUAGUUUUUAAUGAAAUUUCUAAUUUAAAGAAAACUGAUUUUGAUGAUGAUCUUGGUUUUGAUAAUUUGAAUUUAAAUGAACCCCCUCCUCAAAAUAGCAACUUGGAUGCACCUUCUUCCGAAAUUUCCUUACCCAAGGAAUGGAAGUAUAUAGAUGCUCAUUCAAAGGAGCUAAUUAUAGGAGAUACAUCAAAAGGGGUUCAAAC
rnacentral:lncRNA from 1 species